UAAUAAGAAGCAAAAUUUUGCAUUUAGUUUCGACCUAAACCACUGAUAAACCUUAUCCUUAUUUU
rnacentral:tRNA from 1 species